rnacentral:rRNA from 1 species
CUACGGGCUGCAGCAGUGAGGAAUUUUGGACAAUGGGCGAAAGCCUGAUCCAGCAAUACCACGUGAGUGAUGAAGGCCUUCGGGUUGUAAAGCUCUUUUAGUAGAGAAGAUAAUGACGGUAUCUACAGAAAAAGCACCGGCUAAUUCCGUGCCAGCAGCCGCGGUAAUACGGAAGGUGCUAGCGUUGUUCGGUUUUAUUGGGCGUAAAGCGUACGUAGGCGGUUUAGCAUGUUGAAUGUGAAAACCCAGGGCUUAACCUUGGAAUUGCAUUCAAAACUGCUAGACUAGAGGAUAACAUAGGAUGGUGGAAUUUCUAGUGUAGGGGUGAAAUCCGUAGAUAUUAGAAGGAACACCAGUAGUGAAGACGGCCAUCUAGGUUAUUCCUGACGCUAAGGUACGAAAGCGUGGGUAGCAAACAGGAUUAGAUACCCUUGUAGUC